UACUCGAGUGGCGAACGGGUGAGUAACACGUGGGUGAUCUGCCCUGCACUUCGGGAUAAGCUUGGGAAACUGGGUAUAAUACCGGAUAGGACCGCACUUUAGUGUGUGUGGUGGAAAGUUUUUUCGGUGUAGGAUGAGCUCGCGGCCUAUCAGCUUGUUGGUGGGGUAAUGGCCUACCAAGGCGGCGACGGGUAGCCGGCCUGAGAGGGUGUACGGCCACAUUGGGACUGAGAUACGGCCCAG
rnacentral:rRNA from 1 species